rnacentral:rRNA from 1 species
CCUACGGGAGGCAGCAGUGAGGAAUAUUGGUCAAUGGGCGAGAGCCUGAACCAGCCAAGUCGCGUGAGGGAGUACUGACCUCUGGGUUGUACACCUCUUUUGUCGGGGAGCAAAAGCCGGACGUGUCCGGCUUUGAGCGUACCCGAAGAAAAAGCAUCGGCUAACUCCGUGCCAGCAGCCUCGGUAAUACGGCGGAUGCGAGCGUUAUCCGGAUUUUUUGGGUUUUAAGGGUGCGCAGGCGGAUGUUUACGUAUUCGGUCAAAUCGUGGGGCUCAACCCCAUCCAGCCGUUGAAACUGGGGAUCUAGAGUGUGCGAGAGGUAUGCGGAAUGCGUGGUGUAGCGGUGAAAUGCAUAGAUAUCACGCAGAACCCCGAUUGCGAAGGCAGCAUACCGGUGCACAACUGACGCUCAGGCACGAAAGCGUGGGUAUCGAACAGGAUUAGAUACCCGGGUAGUC